AUGUUAUAUCUAUGUUACUUUAACUAUGACCAGCCUAAUAUCCUGGAGGUUAGGCUGGAGGCUCUGUAUGAGCUUGUUAUUGCCUGCUUGUGGAGUCCCAUGCUGGAUUUUAAUGCUGGAGAGUGUCGCCUUGAUGGCCUGGCACAGGUCUUUAUGCUUCCGUGGGAGGCUGCAACUGCAGUACAUAGCUGCGUCACCACUCCGACCGAUGAUGUAAAAGUUGAUGCCCUAAAAUUGGAUUUUACAUUUGGAGAGAGAAGCUUUUGGGACAUCAACAAAGUUUUUGUUGUAACAGCAAUGCUCCAAAACUAG
rnacentral:rRNA from 1 species